AAGAUGCUGCCCGUGAGAGCCUCGCAGAAGCUGGGGCUGGGGUGGGACUGGAAAGCCGGAGAGAUUUAAAGCUUGGACCAUGACCCGGAAGUUCAAGUUCAGUGACCAGAAGCAGGUUCUUAGGGUGAACCGGGAAGUUCAUUUGGGCCCUGUGACAUGUAGUGCGGAUCUUAAGAAACCAAGUGUUAAGUGUUCAUGCUUCUUUCCUUUCGAAGCUGUAGGAGUAGGGGUGACAUGCGCCGCAGUGGAUCCAACUUUCUGGAGAAGGGACAAGUUGCAGCGCUCCCAAUGUGAUCGACUUUAGAGUUUUUGGAAAGACUUCUUGCUAAGAUGGCAGCUUGAGUAACGACCAGAGGAGUAGAAGCAACUAAUUUGAGCCAUCAAAUGCACAGCUAGUAAACAAGUCUGCUGCCUGCCUGACAGCCUGAGUUGGAUUCCCAGCAACCCGCAUGGCAGGAAGGAGAGGUCUGACUUCGCUGAGGUGUCUUCUCACUCCCACACGUGUUUUGGCACACACACGUGCAUACGUAGUACCCCUACCGUAAGUAAAAGAAGUGUAAUUUAAAACA